rnacentral:lncRNA from 1 species
UCCACUCCCACCCCCCUCCCGACAUGCCACGCGACGCAAACCGAGGAAGACUACCUUUAAUGAUCAUUUGAACAGAUAAAUGCACACAAUAUACGCUAUUAUGUUGUACAAGUAUGAUUAAAAUUAUAUUGAAAACGCUCUAUAAAAUGAGAAGCAAUAUACCUGGAUCCGGCACUGUGGUGUUAAUUAGCCGCAAAGAAUAUGUAUUUUUUUUUAAAUUGGUCCAUCUUUCAAGUAUAACGCAGGCUUUAGCAGGCUUAAAGCAAUGAUAUCCACUGAAUGGUUCAAGUCAUUUUUUAAACGCGGCGAUAUUUUUGUCCUCGAUCGCGGGUUUGAAAAUGUAAAAUCUGACUUAGAAGCUGCCGGUUUUCGAGUCUACAUACCUCGUUUAAAAAAAGGUAACGCUCAGCUUUCAACCAAGGACGCCAACGAGAGCAGAUUAUGCACCAAAGUUCGUUGGGUGGUUGAAGUAGUGAAUAGUUCUAUUAAAAGAUUUCGACACUUUCGUUCAUCGGUAAUUUCAAGUAAAGUGCCGCAUUUGUUUGAUGACUAUCGCAUAGUGUCCGCGAUACAUAAUUUAUAUUUUCAACGCCUGCAAAGUGAUGGUGACGACGCAAAAAUUGCCAUUCAAAUGCUCCAAAAAUUAAAUGAGCCGAAUAUUGUGCAACAAAUUGUUGAGGACGAGAAAUGGCUCCGAAAAAAUGUAGUUUUUGAAAACCUGACCACAGAUCAUUUUAAACAAUUAGAGCAGUGGAGGAGCGAAGAUCUUGACACCCUCUCGGGAAGAUAUCAAAUUGGACUUGCAGCAAGUUAUAUCGCAGACCAUUUUGCUAAUGGAAAAUAUUGCUUUCAAGUGACGAAGGAUAACUUUUUGCCAGAUUUUCAAAAAUAUGAUAUUUCCGUAAAUUCGCCUCUUUUUCUUCGAUCGCGGAUCCUAUCGAGGCAUAAAUCAAAAAAGAAUAUCAUAUAUUUAUAUUAAUCGACACCAGUAAAAAAUCCAGCGAGGCCAUUAAAGCAUGUUACUGCA